CCGCGGUAAUAUGUAGGGUGCAAGCGUUAUCCGGAAUUAUUGGGCGUAAAGAGCUCGUAGGCGGGUUGUCGCGUCUGCUGUGAAAACUGGGGGCUCAACCCCCAGCCUGCAGUGGGUACGGGCAGACUAGAGUGCGGUAGGGGAGAUUGGAAUUCCUGGUGUAGCGGUGGAAUGCGCAGAUAUCAGGAGGAACACCGAUGGCGAAGGCAGAUCUCUGGGCCGUAACUGACGCUGAGGAGCGAAAGCAUGGGGAGCGAACAGG
rnacentral:rRNA from 1 species